GCUUCCGAAGGGUCAGUCUCACCCAACCAAGCAUCUUAAACGCAUCUUCCCAGCAUCGUAACCUUGACAACUGUCCCAUUUAUCCACGUUUAUCAAGUUCACGUUGUGAAUACUGUAGCUGAAGACCCGCAGGGACCCAAACGGUACAUGCAGAGCCCAUUAACCAAUCCAUUGUGUUAAUGAACUACUACUGGUCAUUGAUCAGGUUUCACUCAAACGUAGCCAGUGAGCGUGGUAGUCGCCUGGCUAACUGUGGUAACACUCUAGAACUGAGUGUCCUCGCCCAGCGUCACAGCGUGUCUUGAGGUCACUGAGCUUCGGUACUAACUGACUUGACAAUUUCGUGAAAUAACGUCCAACAACAACAGCGUUUUCGGGAGUGACAUCCUGAAGGCAGAAACAAACAUAAGCUGAGCGUGACUGUUAUAUCUUCUGUCGCAGUAAACAACACGACCAAGAUGGUGCAGGAUCAAGUGUGUUACUCCUCCAGCAGCAGCGGGUGUGAUCCUCAGGCCAGGAAGGACUCAUUCAAAGUGUUGGACAUGAUCACUUACCCUCAGGCCAAAAUGAUCACCUUGACCCAGAGCAAGAGUGAGGGCGUGAAGAAGAGCAAAAAGACAGACAUAUGGGGCCCGGUGUUCCAGAAUAAACAACACUUCGUCGACAUGCACCUCUGUUAGCCUCCUGUACAGACAACACCGUAUACUGUACUUAUAAUCAUGUGUUCCUAAAUAUAACUGUAUGUUGUCUUAGUACUUCACAAUCAUCGCGCCAUAACACACCAUAAAGCUAAGUUGCUGUUAUGAGGCGGGAAACCUUAUCAAGCCGCCUCCACCAUCCCCACGUCACCCUCACCACCCACUCACCUCUAUAUCUAUUCAUCCAACUAACCAAAUAGUAUAUAAUAUAAAUCAUCCCUAUUUAAAAAGAUGAUUUAUAGAUACCAUAAUAUAUUUAUAAUAAAAUAUUUUUUUGGUA